GACCAUUCUGCCUUUGUAAGGCAUCGGCUAGAAUGACGACAUCAUGUGUCGAACCCUCCCAACCAGCUAGCACAUAUGUGAAGCGAAGGUCAAAGUCUACCGCGGCCAUCACAUUUUGGGUUGUGAAACUCUUUCUACCUCGAAAAGCUGCCUCACGAGACUUGGGGACACUAGCUCGUCAAAAAUAAUUUUAGUGUGCCUAGACCAUACCUCAAAGUAAGGAUACCAUCGAGGAUUUCCAAGGAUUUUGACUGAAGUUUCAAGAGAUGGAGGCCUAAUAAGCAUUCCUCUCGUUGUGACCAAUUGUGUGAAGGAACAUUGCUACUUGUUCCUCAACACAACAAUGGAUACUAUCAGAAAGAAGGCUUCUUUGUUUCAGUGUAUCACACAACAAAAAGAAUGGUGCUCUCCUCAAUCUUAGCAUGCGCAAACAACUCGUAUCAUCUUUAUGGUAAAUACUAGAAAGGUAGUCAUUUCGUUUCAUUUCCAUAUCAAUCAUUGGGGCAUAUGAAACCCGUUUCCUUUUCAUCUUCCUCCUCACAAUCAGAAUAUAAUAAAAUGUAGCGGCGGCUAGAGCAACAGCUUUAAUAAUUAAAGAUCUUCUUAUUUCAUUUGCAUCCAUCUACAUGAAGU